UACAGAGGUCUCAAGCGUUGUUCGGAUUCAUUGGGCGUAAAGGGUGCGUAGGCGGCGCGGUAAGUCGGGUGUGAAAUCUCGGGGCUUAACUCCGAAACUGCAUUCGAUACUGUGGUGCUUGAGGACUGGAGAGGAGACUGGAAUUCAUGGUGUAGCAGUGAAAUGCGUAGAGAUCAUGAGGAAGACCAGUGGCGAAGGCGGGUCUCUGGACAGUUCCUGACACUGAGGCACGAAGGCCAGGGGAGCAAACGGG
rnacentral:rRNA from 1 species